GAUGAACGCUGGCGGCGUGCCUAAUACAUGCAAGUCGAGCGAACAGACGAGAAGCGUUCUUCUCUGAUGUUAACGGCGGACGUGUUAGUAACACGUGGAUAACCUCGCUAUGAGUCUGUAAUAGCUUCGGUAAACCGUAGCUCAUACCGGAUAAGAUUUUAAACCGCGUGGUUUAAAAGUGCACGACGGUCUUGCGGUCGCUGUUAGAUGGAUCCGCGCGGCAUUAGCUAGUUGGUCAGGUAACGGCUUUCCAAGGCAACUAUGCAUAGCCGACCUGAGAGGGUGAUCGGCCACACUGGAACUGAGACACGGUCCAGACUCCUAGGGGAGGCAGAAGUAGGGAAUCUUGCGAAAUGGGGGAAAGCCUGACGGAGAAACGCCGCGUGAGUGAUGAAGGUCUUCGGAUCGUAAAACUCUGUUAUCAGGGCAGAACAUAUGUGUAAGUAACUGUGCACAAAUGGACGGUACCUAAUCAGAAAGCCCCGGCUAACUACGG
rnacentral:rRNA from 1 species